GAGUUUGAUCCUGGCUCAGAUUGAACGCUGGCGGCAUGCCUUACACAUGCAAGUCGAACGGCAGCAUGAUCUAGCUUGCUAGAUUGAUGGCGAGUGGCGAACGGGUGAGUAAUACAUCGGAACGUGCCCUGUAGUGGGGGAUAACUAGUCGAAAGAUUAGCUAAUACCGCAUACGACCUGAGGGUGAAAGUGGGGGACCGCAAGGCCUCAUGCUAUAGGAGCGGCCGAUGUCUGAUUAGCUAGUUGGUGGGGUAAAGGCCCGACCAAGGCGACGAUCAGUAGCUGGUCUGAGAGGACGAUCAGCCACACUGGGACUGAGACACGGCCCAGACUCCUACGGGAGGCAGCAGUGGGGAAUUUUGGACAAUGGGCGAAAGCCUGAUCCAGCAAUGCCGCGUGUGUGAAGAAGGCCU
rnacentral:rRNA from 1 species